rnacentral:hammerhead_ribozyme from 15 species
CAGGCGUCUAAGGUAGAUUUCCAUUAUAAUACCUUACUGAUGAGUCUAGUAAUGGAAACCGGGACGAAACGCCAA